rnacentral:rRNA from 1 species
ACGAACGCUGGCGGCAUGCCUAACACCUGCCAGUCGAACGAGACCUUCGGGUCUAGUGGCGCACGGGUGCGUAACGCGUGGGAACCUGCCCUUAGGUUCGGAAUAACUCCCCGAAAGGGGUGCUAAUACCGGAUAAUGUCUUCGGACCAAAGAUUUAUCGCCUUUGGAUGGGCCCGCGUUGGAUUAGCUAGUUGGUAGGGUAAAAGCCUACCAAGGCGACGAUCCAUAGCUGGUCUGAGAGGAUGAUCAGCCACACUGGGACUGAGACACGGCCCAGACUCCUACGGGAGGCAGCAGUGGGGAAUAUUGGACAAUGGGCGAAAGCCUGAUCCAGCAAUGCCGCGUGAGUGAUGAAGGCCUUAGGGUUGUAAAGCUCUUUUACCCGGGAUGAUAAUGACAGUACCGGGAGAAUAAGCUCCGGCUAACUCCGU